UCCCAUGUCUAGUGGUUAGGAUUCCUGGCUUUCACCCAGGCGGCCCGGGUUCGAUUCCCGGCGUGGGAA
rnacentral:tRNA from 1 species